rnacentral:rRNA from 1 species
AGAGUUUGAUCCUGGCUCAGAAUCAACGCUGGCGGCGUGCCUAACACAUGCAAGUCGCACGAGAAAGUGGAGCAAUCCAUGAGUACAGUGGCGCACGGGUGAGUAACACGUGAAUAAUCUACCUCCGAGUGGGGAAUAACUUAGGGAAACCUGAGCUAAUACCGCAUAACACUUACGAGUCAAAGCAGCAAUGCGCUUGGAGAGGAGUUCGCGGCAGAUUAGUUAGUUGGCGGGGUAAUGGCCCACCAAGACGAUGAUCUGUAUCCGGCCUGAGAGGGCGCACGGACACACUGGAACUGAAACACGGUCCAGACUCCUACGGGAGGCAGCAGUGGGGAAUUUUGCGCAAUGGGGGAAACCCUGACGCAGCAACGCCGCGUGGAGGAUGAAAUCCCUUGGGAUGUAAACUCCUUUCGAUCGGGACGAUUAUGACGGUACCGGAAGAAGAAGCCCCGGCUAACUUCGUGCCAGCAGCCGCGGUAAUACGAGGGGGGCGAGCGUUGUUCGGAAUUAUUGGGCGUAAAGGGUGCGUAGGCGGUUUGAUAAGUCUGAUGUGAAAUCUAUGGGCUCAACCCAUAGCCUGCAUUAGAAACUGUCGGGCUUGAGUAUGGGAGAGGUGAGUGGAAUUUCCGGUGUAGCGGUGAAAUGCGUAGAUAUCGGAAGGAACACCUGUGGCGAAAGCGGCUCACUGGACCAUUACUGACGCUGAUGCACGAAAGCUAGGGGAGCAAACAGGAUUAGAUACCCCCGUAGUCC